CUAUGUAUAUUUCAUCUAUUAUGUCGAUGAAUGUAAAAUGUAUAUGAAAUGUAAUUAAUUCAUUUGGGAGAUGGUUACGUAAAUUGGAAGAAUGAAUGUAAAGUAAAUGUACAAGCUUUGUAUUUGAUUGAAAGUGAUCAAGUUACAAUGUGUUGUUAAAUAUGGAUCCCGAGGAUCUAAAAGGUAAAUAACACCUAGAGGGGGGUGAAUAGGUGUAAAUCCGGCAAACUCGAAAAAUCUCGAUGCAAACAAAACAAAAUAGCGGAAAUUAAAACAGCACACCGAGAAUUUAACGUGGGAAAACUCCAAUUC
rnacentral:lncRNA from 1 species